GGCAAUCACAUAGGGAUCAUUAUAUCCACAAAUCAAAGGACUUAAAAUAUGGCGCAUCGAGGGAUAACAUAUCACUGAUGCAAAGUAUUGAAGAUGGUGCAUGAUCAUCUCUCAAUAGAUUUGGAUCAAAGAAGGUUGAAUCAACCUCAAGUCCAUCUACCAAUGAUUUGAGAUAUGGAAGAACUCAUCAACCAAGCAAUUAACUUAAGUCAAAACAUCAAGUGAUCAACAAAAAGAAAUAAAAAAUGAUUAAAAAUGAUUUAAUAAUGAUUAAUAAAAGAAAAUAAAAGAUAAAAUGUCAAAGAGGUAUCAAAAUACAAAAUAAAAGUCCAAUAAAAUUGGAUAAAGUCAACAAAAUUAUAAGUAAUUUGAUCUCAAAAGUUGGGGUGAAAAAUGUUUUAAAAUUAUUAAAAUAAAAAUGUUAAAUGAAAAUUAAAUGGAAAA
rnacentral:lncRNA from 1 species